rnacentral:rRNA from 1 species
GAUGAACGCUAGCGGCAGGCUUAACACGUGCAAGUCGAGGGGUAUUGGUUUUCGGACCAAGAGACCGGCGCACGGGUGCGUAACGCGUAUGCAAUCUACCUUUUGCAGAGGGAUAGCCCAGGGAAAUUUGGAUUAAUACCUCAUAGUAUAGUACUUUGGCAUCAAGGAACUAUUAAAGUCACAACGGCAAAAGAUGAGCAUGCGUCCCAUUAGCUAGUUGGUAAGGUAACGGCUUACCAAGGCUACGAUGGGUAGGGGUCCUGAGAGGGAGAUCCCCCACACUGGUACUGAGACACGGACCAGACUCCUACGGGAGGCAGCAGUGAGGAAUAUUGGACAAUGGGCGCAAGCCUGAUCCAGCCAUGCCGCGUGCAGGAUGACGGUCCUAUGGAUUGUAAACUGCUUUUAUACAGGAAGAAACCCUCCCACGUGUGGGAGCUUGACGGUACUGUAGGGAAUAAGGAUCGGCUAAUCCGUGCCAGCAGCCGCGGU